AAUUUAGCAGGGACUAGUCGGGGUAUGGAAUGAUGAUUCAAGAUAGCUAUUUUAGUAGUCCUCACUAUUUUGUAAAAUAGUGUAUUAAUAAAUGUAAGGAGGACUUAUUUGAGUGUGGAUGUUGCCUAGAAGACAAUAUUUGUUUUUAAACUCACAGUAUGUGUUGUCGUAUUUUGCACGACAAUUGUAAUAAUGAAGUUGUAGUUUUCUUUAUGUACCAUGUAUUUGGCGACUCAGAAUG
rnacentral:lncRNA from 1 species